UGUCCUCCAGGCCACCCUUUCUUUCUCUGCUUCGAUUUCUUUUUCUCCUUCUCUACUAGGAUUUUAGCAUGGCUACUGCAGAGGUUGUAACACCGGAGACAGCUCUCCCAGAGGAAGCAACAGAGGUGGUGGAGGUACCACCGCCAAAGGUUGAAGAAGAAGAGGCUCCGCCUCCGGUGGCGGCAGAUCCACCAGCCGAGGAGGUGGAAAAAGAAGAAGAAACCACCGAUCCCCCUGCGCCUGAAGAGACAGAAACUCCUGUUGAAGUUGAAACCAAGGAAGUAGUUGUAGAAGAAGAGCCAAAAGAAGAGAAGAAAG
rnacentral:misc_RNA from 1 species